CAAUAGCGUAUAUUAAAGUUGUUGCAGUUAGAACGCUCGUAGUCGGAUUUCGGGGCGGGUCGACCGGUCUGCCGAUGGGUACGCACUGGCCGACGCGUCCUUUUUGCCGGAGACCGUCCCUACUCUUAACUGAGCGGGGUCGGGAGACGGCACUUUUACUUUGAAAAAAUCAGAGUGUUUCAAGCAGGCAGCUCGCUCUUGCAUGGAUUAGCAUGGGAUAAUGAAAUAGGACUUUGGUGCUAUUUUGUUGGUUUCGAACACCGAAGUAAUGAUGAGAAGGGACAGUCAGGGGCACUCGUAUUCCGCCGAGAGAGGUGAAAUUCUCAGACCAGCAGAAGACGAACCACUGCGAAAGCAUUUGCCAGGGAUGUUUUCACUGA
rnacentral:rRNA from 1 species